GGCCGGGGCCGUGGCCGGGGUUGUGGACGUCUAGUUGGUCAGAGACAGUCAUGCGACCAGGCUGAAAUAGGAGGUCAGAUCCAGGUUGAGGAGAAGAAACAGCAGCCCGAGGAGGAGCAGCCGCAUCAGUGCAGAGUAGCACGUCCUUGUGAGCAACUCCUAUCAGCGUCAGCGGCAGCUGCCCUGAUCAAGCUCAAUGAGGCGGAAUAGCAGCCCAAGCAGAAGUGUAUGGCUUUCAGAAAACUUCUAGCUUGUCACACUGUUUGAGCUCGGCUCGAGGCCUAAACAAGCCAAGCUCAAGCCAACAGGAGCGGGUUUAGUCGCCUUUGCUGACUGAUAAUUCGAACUUGUUAACUAGGAAGAGCUCAUCUGGUGAUCACUGCCGCUUCUUGUGAUAGAUAUUUAUUUAUCUCAUGUGUGUGUCUGCUCUGGUUUGAUGUUGGAUUAGAACAUCUGAUAUACACUUGGAAUGCAUGAAAACUAUCAGUAUGGACUGACUAAUGACAGUACAAAAGCUUUUUCU